GAUGAAGAACGUAGCAAAAUGCGAUACUUGGUGUGAAUUGCAGAAUCCCGUGAACCAUCGAGUUUUUGAACGCAAGUUGCGCCCGAAGCCUUUUGGCCGAGGGCACGUCUGCCUGGGCGUCACGCAUCGCGUCGCCCCCCACAAUUCUCCGUAAAAGGAACAUGUGUUUUGGGGGCGGAUAUUGGUCUCCCGUGCUCAUGGCGUGGUUGGCCGAAAUAGGAGUCCUUUCGAUGGACGCACGAACUAGUGGUGGUCGUAAAAACCCUCGUCUUUUGUUUCGUGCUGUUGCUCGCAAGGUAAACUCUUUAAAAACCCCAAUGUGUCGUCUCUUGACGACGCUUCGACCGCGACCCCAGGUCAGGCGGGACUACCCGCUGAGUUUAAGCAUAUCAAUAAGGGAGGA
rnacentral:misc_RNA from 1 species